GACCCGUUAGCUCAGUUGGUAGAGCAUCUCCCUUUUAAGGAGAGGGCCGUUGGUUCAAGCCCAACACGGGUCACCA
rnacentral:tRNA from 1 species